GUGCCAGCAGCCGCGGUAAUUCCAGCUCCAAUAGCGUAUAUUAAAGUUGUUGUGGUUAAAAAGCUCGUAGUUGAACCUUGGGCCUGGCUGGCCGGUCCGCCUCACCGCGUGCACUGGUCCGGCCGGGCCUUUCCCUCUGUGGAACCCCAUACCCUUCACUGGGCGUGGCGGGGAAACAGGACAUUUACUUUGAAAAAAUUAGAGUGCUCCAGGCAGGCCUAUGCUCGAAUACAUUAGCAUGGAAUAAUAAAAUAGGACGCGCGGUUCUAUUUUGUUGGUUUAUAGGACCGCCGUAAUGAUUAAUAGGGACAGUCGGGGGCAUCAGUAUUCAACUGUCAGAGGUGAAAUUCUUGGAUCAGUUGAAGACUAACUACUGCGAAAGCAUUUGCCAAGGAUGUUUUCAUUAAUCAGGAACGAAAGUUAGGGGAUCGAAGACGAUCAGAUACCGUCGUAGUCUUAACCAUAAACUAUGCCGACUAGGGAUCGGACGGUGUUAUUCAUGACCCGUUCGGCACCUUACGAGAAAUCAAAGUGCUUGGGCUCCAGGGGGAGUAUGGUCGCAAGGCUGAAACUUAAAGAAAUUGACGGAAGGCACCACCAGGGUGUAGCCUGCGGCUUAAUUUGACUCAACACGGGGAAACUCACCAGGUCCAGACACAAUAAGGAUUGACAGAUUGAGAGCUCUUUUCUUGAUUUGUGGGGUGGUGGUGCAUGGCCGUUCUUAGUUGGUGGGGUGACUUGUCUGCUUAAUUGCGAUAACGAACGAGACCUUACCUGCUAAAUAGCCCGCAUUGCUUCGGCAGUGCGCUGGCUUCUUAGAAGGGACGUAG
rnacentral:rRNA from 1 species